GAUGAACGCUGGCGGCGUGCCUAAUACAUGCAAGUCGAGCGAACGGACGAGAAGCUUGCUUCUCUGAUGUUAGCGGCGGACGGGUGAGUAACACGUGGAUAACCUACCUAUAAGACUGGGAUAACUUCGGGAAACCGGAGCUAAUACCGGAUAAUAUUUUGAACCGCAUGGUUCAAAAGUGAAAGACGGUCUUGCUGUCACUUAUAGAUGUAUCCGCGCUGCAUUAGCUAGUUGGUAAGGUAACGGCUUACCAAGGCAACGAUGCAUAGCCGACCUGAGAGGGUGAUAGGCCACACUGGAACUGAGACACGGUCCAGACUCCUACGGGAGGCAGCAGUAGGGAAUCUUCCGCAAUGGGCGAAAGCCUGACGGAGCAGCGCCGCGUGAGUGAUGAAGGUCUUCGGAUCGUAAAACUCUGUUAUUAGGGAAGAACAUAUGUGUAAGUAACUGUGCACAUCUUGACGGUACCUAAUCAGAAAGCCACGGCUAACUACGUG
rnacentral:rRNA from 1 species